AGGUUGGUCCACUGGCGUCAGUUGGGUGCAGACCCCAUCCUAAGUCGCUAAAGCCACACAGCCUGGAAAAGCGCCUUUCCAGUGGCUGCAGGGCUGUCUUGGGGCCAGGAAGAAGUCGGACCUAGGGACCCAGAAGGUAGACCUG
ensembl:miRNA